AGCAGCCUGGAGCAAGAGUUCUGGUCCAUAGAGACACGUUCCACCAGGACCGAAGGGAUCCUGAAAUCACAUUCUUUGAUCAAAUGAAACAACCAAUGAUGAUGUACAGGGUGAAGCCUGCCGCCUUUGACCUGUUUUUGGGUGGCUGUAUAGCUGGGUACCUUGGAGUAGUUUAUUAUGCAAUCCAGAACUUUUGCAAUGUCU